rnacentral:rRNA from 1 species
CAGCAGCAGCCGCGGUAAUACGAAGGGGGCUAGCGUUGCUCGGAAUGACUGGGCGCAAAGGGCGCGUAGGCGGCGAUCAAAGUCAGGCGUGAAAUUCCUGGGCUCAACCUGGGGGCUGCGCUUGAUACUGGGUUGCUUGAGUGGGGAAGAGGGUCGUGGAAUUUCCAGUGUAGAGGUGAAAUUCGUAGAUAUUGGGAAGAACACCGGUGGCGAAGGCGGCGACCUGGUCCUUUACUGACGCUGAGGCGCGAAAGCGUGGGGAGCAAACAGGAUUAGAUACCCCGGUAGUCCCUGUCUCUUAUAC